CCUACGGGAGGCAGCAGUGAGGAAUAUUGCGCAAUGGGCGAAAGCCUGACGCAGCGACGCCGCGUGAGGGAUGAAGGUCUUCGGAUCGUAAACCUCUGUCAGCAGGGAAGAACGGUCACGGGGCUAAUCAGCAGUGAAUUGACGGUACCGGCAAAGGAAGCACCGGCUAACUCCGUGCCAGCAGCCGCGGUAAUACGGAGGGUGCGAGCGUUAAGCGGACUUACGGGGCGUAAAGCGCUCGUAGGCGGUAUGUCCAGUCAAGGGUGAAAUCCCCGCGCGCAACGUGGGAACUGCCUUUGAAACUGGCAACCUGGCGUGUGUGAGAGGCUAGUGGACUUCCAGUUGU
rnacentral:rRNA from 1 species